rnacentral:sRNA from 2 species
GAAUGACAAUCGCUGAAUCCCGCUAGCGGGAACGGGGGAACCAAGUCUUUUGGGGUGAAACGCAUCAUGCGUCGGGCAAUCCUUCUGUCCGAACCCGUCAGCUAACCUCGCAAGCGUCGAAAGGGUGUCCUU